rnacentral:misc_RNA from 1 species
UCGAGUUAGGGUCUUCCAGGCCCAACCUCCAACCCUUUGUCUACUCGACCCUUGUGUUGCUUCGGCGAGCCCGUCCCUCCGGGGGCCGCCGGGGGGUUCUUAUCGACCCUCUGGCCCGUUGCUCGUCGGUGGCCUACCAUAAAACCCUUGAUUAAAUCAGUGUCUGAAGCUUGAUAAAUAAAUCAAAAAGCA